CAGAGUUUAACAACUCCCAACCUAUGUGAACUUACCUUUGUUGCCUCGGUGGAGGGGCCCGACCUACCCUGUAGGAAGGGACCCCCUCUGCCGGUGGACCUAUAAACUCUUGUUAUUUAUUGACAUCUGAGCGUCUUAUUUUAAUAAGUCA
rnacentral:misc_RNA from 1 species